AGUUAAUAAAAUAAGACUGUAAAUCUUAAAUUGUGAAACCACAUUAACUA
rnacentral:tRNA from 1 species